rnacentral:rRNA from 1 species
UACGAGAGGCCCAAACGUUAUUCGGAAUUACUGGGCUUAAAGAGUUCGUAGGCGGUAUUGCAAGUAGGGUGUGAAAGCCCUCGGCUCAACCGAGGAAUUGCGCUCUAAACUGCAGUACUUGAGGAACCUAGAGGUGAGCAGAACAGAUGGUGGAGCGGUGAAAUGCGUUGAUAUCAUCUGGAAUACCGGAGGCGAAGGCGGCUCACUGGGAGUUUUCUGACGCUGAGGAACGAAAGCCAGGGUAGCGAACGGG